UGGGGAAUAUUGCGCAAUGGACGAAAGUCUGACGCAGCGACGCCGCGUGUGGGAUGACGGUCUUCGGAUUGUAAACCACUGUCGGGAGGGACGAAUACGCCGCAAGGCGGGUGACGGUACCUCCAAAGGAAGCACCGGCUAACUCCGUGCCAGCAGCCGCGGUAAUACGGAGGGUGCGAGCGUUGUCCGGAAUCACUGGGCGUAAAGGGCGCGUAGGCGGCCUGAUAAGUAGGGGGCUGAAAUCCUGCGGCUUAACCGCAGGGCUGCCUUCUAAACUGUCGGGCUCGAGCACAGUAGAGGCAGGUGGAAUUCUCGGUGUAGCGGUGGAAUGCGUAGAGAUCGGGAAGAACAUCAGUGGCGAAGGCGGCCUGCUGGGCUGUUGCUGACGCUGAGGCGCGACAGCGUGGGGGAGCAAACAGGAUUAGAUACCC
rnacentral:rRNA from 1 species